ACCAGGUAUCAUUAUGUCUAGGCAAGACUCAGGAUUGAGGCUGCUUGCUGCCUUUAAAGCAGGUCAUUUGCUUAUCACUCACAGACUGUGGAUUGCAGAGAAAAGUGGUCAUAUUACAGAUGUUGUUCUCUGGUAGCCCUGAGGAGCUCUAGAGUAUGACUGCUAAGGUCAACUGUAUGAACGAAAGACCUGGACUCUGACGACUAUCCUGAAGGGUUGGACUGCUUUUUUAACCAAAGUGUUUGAAUCAGCUACAUCAGUCUGAAGAAAAGACUGGGAGGGGGCCACCUCUCCAUACCUCCCCAAUUCCAUCCCACUUUUCCACAGACCCCACUGUAUCUCUAGCAUGGAGCACAAGCUCUCCUGAAGAGCAGAUGCUACUUGGUCACUGCCUUGCUGCCUUUCAGCUGUGGCUAAUGACAGGACAGAGAAGAGGUAAUUGCUUUCCUGCCAAGCAAUGUGACCUCUGGGAUGAACUGAGCAGGUCUGACCAGCUCUGCAUAGUGAUUGAGGGGCACUUCCCAUCCCAUACACAGCUCUUAGAGCAGCCCAGGAAAGAGGAAAAACUACUAACAGCCCAAUUCAUAACCCUGGCAGCUACAGAUUGAUCCAACCUGUACUGCAGAUUCACAUGCUCCACCAUUAAUCAUCUGAGAACUUUGUACAAAAUACACCAUGGAACCUCAAUAAGGAGUACAUACAGACAAAUCACUCCUUUGUAGUCAUUAGAAUGUUAUUAAAUUGCGUAGAAGAAUCAAGUGACCUGCCAGGAGUUAAUGUACUCAUAGGGAUGACUCAUACAAGGCAGCUGGAGCCGUUUCCACCCUAGGUCUCAACUCUGCCCCUAAGGACCUUCUGCUCCUGCAAGAAGAGCAUUGCAACCUGGAGAGAACAAAAUGCCCAUUCUGCUCAGAGACAUGUCACACAGAAACUGGCAUGCAGUACUUCCGAAGGAAAGAAAAGAGGUUGUUUGGCUGCAGCUUAAGUUUCUUGAGAACUGUAAGCCACAAGUACACCAGCUUCAUGCUCUCCCCUGUGUCAAUUUCAUAUUCCAACUUGUCUCUAGAUUACAAAUGGAGAGGAACUGAAAGCAUGUGGCCGAUGUCUACCUACAGACUUGUCAUGGAGUUAAAGGGAACAGAGCUGGAGCACGGCUACAGGUACCCAGUACUGAGUGUUCGUUGCACUUACCCUCAGAAAAAGUCACAGAACCACAGAAUCAUGUAUGCUGGAAGGAACCUCUGGAGGCCAACUGGUCCCACCUUCUCUUCAAAGCAGGCCCAGUUAGAGCAGAAAGACAGCAACUGCAUCAACAACUGCACAGGAUUUGAACAGUGUGAAAGUGAUUCUAAAUAUAAAAUGUAAUUCAGGGAAAAAUAUUGUCUAAUAUCAGGUCAGAAGUAAAACACACCCUGCGAGACAUUUCAUUGCAUCACUGCAGUCAUGGCUUCACAAUAAAACUGUUCUUGCCAAAUGGUGACAGAGUACUGUAUGUGGACACCUUCCAAAACAAACCGAGGAGACAGAACGUAGAGUUGUUCAUUCUAAUCUCCUUCCUCCAAAUCUAUGAAAAGGUUCCCUGCACACAGGUGCUGCAGGCGACCUAUCUAAGGGAAUUGGCAGCACAGGCCACGAUCUGUUUGUUUGCUCCCUGAGCCAGUGAGAGGGACUGAAUUUAUCCACGUGUGCAAGCAUAUGCACUCUCACACAGAACUGCUCGUCUUCCCAGUAGGCAAAAGGGUGUAAGAGACAGCGUGACUCGUUAUCCUGGCACACUGUAUGCUUUAUACCUACACCUGUUCCAGGCUAGUUCAAAACACUUGCCUUCAGCUCCUCCUGGGGGACCACAAAGAUUGGAUAUUAGGAAACAUUUCUUUACUGAAAGAGGGGUCAGGCACUGGAACAGGCUGCCCAGAGAGGUGGUAGAGUCAUCAUCCCUGGGAGUGUUCAAAAAAAUGUGUAGACGUGGCACUUCAGGGCAUGGUUUAGGAGGCAUGGUGGUGUUGGGUUGACAGUUGAACUUGAUGAUCUUAAAGGUCUUUUCCAACAUUAAUGAUUCCACGAUUCUAUGAUUCAGCCACCAGUAAGGAAGCGCAGGAUUUGACUGCCAAGCCCUCUCUGUCACUAAGAGGCAGAAAGAAAAGACGUGCAUGUCUGGCAUCCACUCUUCAAUUCACACUCUGUCACAUGCUUGGAGUAGCCUGACACAGUCACAUUUUGUCCUUAACUGUAGGUCAAUAAAUAAGGACCAGCCAAAAAGAGUAGAAUUUAAUUGCCGACGUCCUGCCAUUCUGCUGCGAUGGAAAAAAUAAAGAAAACAAACCAAACCCAAAAAACUCAAACCAAAAGCAAACAACUGGGUUUAUUUGCUAUUGAAAAUAGUUCUUUAGGAACCAAAUUAUGUUGUUUCUGAAAAAUGCAUUGUAAAUAUUUAUGUGCUUAUUGAAUGUGUUUCAAAUGUGUUCACUACCUUAAAAUAUCAAAAAUACCAGUGGGGCUAUAUUCAGAGGUGGAAAAAAUUUCCAUUUGAGUUCAGUCUGCAGAGCAAGAGGUCAAAAAACUGCAUGUGUGUAGGGUCCCGACCCUGGGACUGGACUAAUGUUGGGGGUCUGCUGAAGAGGGGAGCACCAUGAUGAGGCUGAGGUGAGGGACAGAACUAGGUGAAGACUUGGUGGUCGCUCCUUGCUUAGCCCACGGCCGCAACUGUGCAGACUCCAAUUACAGGCCUCAGCUACUCCCUACACUGCUUAUCAGCUGCCAGAAUAUUAGGCCUAAACUUAUGUCAAGAGCCUAGACAGUUUCUAACAGAACACCCUGGGGGAAGUAUUUAAACCAAAUCAAGAAGCCGUCACCCACUCGCAACUAAAUACUCAUCACAAGCACAACUUGUGGUUGAGGGUUUAGUUGUGUGGCUCCUUUAAAUUAUAGAAGAGCGAACAUUUUCACUGACCCAUGAGGCCUUCCUCCCUCCUCGUCUCUCAUUUAUCUACCCAAACAGCCCAGGUUCAGCUCCACGAGUUGUAGUGGGGUGUGCUGCGGUGAUUAAGACUCUGGGUACAAAGAUAUGUGGGGACUAGGGGCUCACACCAGCUAUAAAAUCGGAGCAUGGGAGUAACUUGGUGGAGCUCCCUCUCAUCUGAUCCGAGACCCCCAUCACCUUUGACCUUGCCGCGGACUACUUGAACAUUGAACCAGUCAUAUUCCCUUUCCCCCAAUCUCACAUAUCUUGCUCUAGCAAUUUCUAUCUUACUAUGUAUUGGGCUUACUAUAUAGGUUAAAAUAACUUGCUUAAGGACAGUGGAAAAUGUAAUAAAAUCAUGGUGUAUGUUAACUGCUUGGCAUCUCAUCAGUGAAGCACGUUAACAGACAAAAUCUGUCUCACUGUGGAUAACAAUCCGGGAACAGAGAAUGACAAUGUGGAACAAGAGCACCAUUUACAGGAAUCCGCAUUGCACAGGUGUUUGAAAACAAGCACCAUCUUUCUAAUUGUAAUAUUUGGGGGAACCGAAUUCAACUUUGUUGUAAUUAAGUUUUCCAAAAUCAGUGGGAGCCUCCAUUAUUUCUGCCAGGCUUGAGAAUGUUUUAGAAAGUAUAUCUAACCUCCAAAAUCUCUCCGUCAUGAGUAAUAAAUACAUACAAGGCUCCAAACUAGCUCUUGCUAGGUA